UACGAAGGUCGCAAGCGUUACUCGGAAUUACUAGGCGUAAAGGGCGUGUAGGCGGUUUGUUAAGUCUGGCGUGAAAGCUCUCGGCUAAACCGGGAGAGGUCGUUGGAUACUGGCGAACUAGAGGAUGGUAGAGGCGUGUGGAAUUCCGGGUGUAGUGGUGAAAUGCGUAGAGAUCCGGAGGAACACCAGUGGCGAAGGCGACACGCUGGGCCAUACCUGACGCUAAAGCGCGACAGCAUGGGGAGCAAACGGG
rnacentral:rRNA from 1 species